rnacentral:lncRNA from 1 species
GCGGCUGGUAUCACCCUUCUCCCAUUAUCCCCCACGUUGUUCCUCCUCUGCUUCUGGGAGGAACCAGGCGGGGCCACAGAGCAGGUAAGUACAGAUUCUUCUCCAGUGACGCCAACGUGAUACUACCUCUGUUACGCUGAACACAUAUCCUAGAUCUAGAGGAACUUGAUUUACAAGUAGCAGAAUGUUCUGUAGGUGUUAUGAUUGAGGUGAUGUGUGUUCCAACUUCCACUGCCAACAAGGAAUACAACUGCUUAACAAAUUACAUUGGUGUCAACCAUACUGUUCUUCAGUCUAAUCCAGCUGAUCCCAGUUUUACCUGUUACUCCCCCAUCUCAUCCCACCAACUCUGUCAGUCCACCAGGCCCCACAAUGCAGCCUCCACACCACUGCAGUAACAGCCACAUCUUCCCAUCACAAAGAUUCAGUACUAUCUCAAUGUGUUGAAGUACCAUCCAGGAUCCUGUGGCAACGUCAAUGUGAAACAGCAUUGACCCGUGAUCACCACCAACCAGGGCUCCACAGCGGUAUCCUUCGAUGCCCAGGCUUCGCUCAAGAUUAACUAAAGGAGAUUUGGAAGGAUCCCAGUGAGCAAAAUUGACAUUUUUUGUUGUUGUUCAAAUGUAUUUUCAACGUCUUUUGAUCAUAGGGAUGGCCUCCCCAGAGAGCACACCAGGCAGCAAACAGCACUUUGAUGUGAUUGGCUGGUCAGCAGGAAGUAUUAUCUGGC